AUCCAUCUGACGAGUCCCAUAUAGGAUGGAACGAGCGUUGUGGAU
rnacentral:hammerhead_ribozyme from 1 species